GACGAACGCUGGCGGCGUGCUUAACACAUGCAAGUCGAACGGAAAGGCCCUGCUUUUGUGGGGUGCUCGAGUGGCGAACGGGUGAGUAACACGUGAGUAACCUGCCCUUGACUUUGGGAUAACUUAAGGAAACUGGGGCUAAUACCGGAUAGGAGCUCCUGCUGCAUGGUGGGGGUUGGAAAGUUUCGGCGGGUGGGGAUGGACUCGCGGCUUAUCAGCUUGUUGGUGGGGUAGUGGCUUACCAAGGCUUUGACGGGUAGCCGGCCUGAGAGGGUGACCGGCCACAUGGGGACUGAGAUACGGCCCAGACUCCUACGGGAGGCAGCAGUGGGGAAUAUUGCACAAUGGGCGGAAGCCUGAUGCAGCAGCGCCGCGUGCGGGAUGACGGCCUUCGGGUUGUAAACCGCUUUCGCCUGUGACGAAGCGUGAGUGACGGUAAUGGGUAAAGAAGCACCGGCUAACUACGUG
rnacentral:rRNA from 1 species